AAUAUUUCGCAAUGGGGGGAACCCUGACGCAGCGACGCCGCGUGAGCGAUGAAGGCCUUCGGGUCGUAAAGCUCUGUCCUCAGGGAAGAAAAGGCUCUGGCUAAUACCUGGAGCUGCUGACGGUACCUGCAGAAUCAGCACAGGCUAACUACGUGCCAGCAGCCGCGGUAAUACGUAGGGUGCAAGCGUUAAUCGGGAUUACUGGGCGUAAAGCGUGCGCAGGCGGUUCGGCAAGAAGGAUGUGAAAUCCCAGGGCUUAACCUUGGAACUGCAUUCUUAACUGCCGGGCUAGAGUAUGUCAGAGGGGGGUAGAAUUCCGCGUGUAGCAGUGAAAUGCGUAGAGAUGCGGAGGAAUACCGAUGGCGAAGGCAGCCCCCUGGGAUAAUACUGACGCUCAUGCACGAAAGCGUGGGGAGCAAAC
rnacentral:rRNA from 1 species